AAAAAUACUGGUGAUCUUCACGUUUUACACAUUUCCAUUAAUAGCUUCUGGUAGUUCGAGAUGUGAAUAAGAACUACAAAGAAAAAGCAGGUUGUUGCUCCUAAAUAUGCAUGCUACUUUUUCAUGGUUAUGUAUAUGGGGAAUUCUUUUUAAUAGACAACGAGGGCAAUUCUCUAAUUUUUGUUUGCAAAUAUCUUAAUUAGUUUUGGUAUGGUUUGUUUAUGUUACAAAAAAGUUUCGUGUUAAAGGACCAAAUAGCACUUCUUUUCAGGGGUAAUGCAGAAUUGAAAUGUGUUGUAGCUGCCAGGUGCAAGUGAUAGCCAUUGUGAACGGGGUCUGCUACAUGUCACCCGUUUAGGCAACUGAAGAGUUGUGUAAAUCUCAGCUGGGUUCAUAAUUUGCUUUUCGGUUCUUGGGAACUAAAAGCAAGAUUAAAGGGUGUGCAUGGUAAGAAGGAAUUGGUUUGAUGGUUUAAAGGUUUCAUCCAAAUUUAAGAGGUUGUUGAAGGUGAUUUGAUGGUUGGAAAAUUAUUUUUAAUUUUUUUUUUCUCUUUUGUGUCUUUAUGGAGGUAAGUGAAAAAGGAUUAUGAUCACAUGAAGAAAGUAAAUUAUUUUAAGGAUAAUUGUUGUUAGUAUCAAUGGGUAUGGAUGAUGACUAUAACGAUGAAAUAUUAACAAAAUAUUUGAAUGACAGAUAAUUAUUCGUAGAGGAA